rnacentral:rRNA from 1 species
UCGGGCGUAUUAGUAUUUACCUGCUCUCUUUUUUAUUUCUCCUGUAGGGGAGUAGUGCGCUGGUAUUGUCAGUGGGCAAACGUUCCUGAGGGUGAGAAGGCGGGCUUUUUAGUUUAAAGGCGUAAUAAGGGGCGGGGCGGCCUUUUUUAUCCCGAUUUUUCCCCGCGCCGUACACUGGCCCUCUUUAUUACACCAAAUUGAUUUUGUUAGGGGCAUGUAGCGGCCUAAAUAGUAUGAACCCCCUUGUUUUCUUCCUUUUUUUCUUUAAAAAAAUUAUAUGCAGCUCCCCCUUAUCGUAAGGGUUAGGAAAACGAAAGAUGUUAGCUAUGAACAAAAUAUCGUAUGAGCGUCCCGCUUUCCGCUGAGUUCCCUUUACCCCCCUUGCAUUUGGAAAUUCCUUUCUUUAGAGUGGGAUGGGGAAGUUGUAACGAAAUGAAAAUUGACAUAUGGAAAGCAAUUUAGGUUAGGGUAGGGCCACGAUCAAUUUGUUCCGCCUCAGGUUUCCAUAUUCACUCCAGUUUGCAAUGUGGGGGUAUCCUCGGCUGAGGACCUCUCACUCCCGCCCCAGGGAUGUCCUCGCGAGGUGCAAGGUAGGGAUGAGUCAUGCCAGACUCCUCCAAGUGUUCUUAAUAUUCUUCUUGUACUUCUCUAGGAGGACCAGUCGUCCCCCUCUUACAUUCACACCCCUUUUUAGUCGAACCACUGUCAUAUCUUAAACCUGUCAGAUGUGGUGUCGAGGCGGCGACGCGCUGGUCGCGUCGUGGCCUCCGCCGCGUUGUAUAUCGCAUACCAAUGCGACACAACUUUCAGCAACGGAUAUCUUGGCUCUCGCAACGAUGAAGAACGCAGCGAAAUGCGAUACGUAAUGCGAAUUGCAGAAUUCAGUGAAUCAUCAAAAUUUUGAACGCACAUUGCGCUUCCGGGAUAUGCCUGGGAGCAUGCUUGUUGGAGUGUCUGUUCACCCCACUCGCCUCCUCGUGCGCUCGCCCGCCGCUUAGCCCCGGCCGGCGAGUGGGGAGCUGCGGACUGUGGGCCGCCUUGCUGCUCGCGCGGCAAGCCGCCCGAAACGAAGAGACGACGGUGCCGUCGCCUCGAUUGCGUGGGAGCCAAUGCAUGUUGGACAAUCGCGAUCGGGUGCCAUGCGGUGUUCGGCCGCGUCGAAAAGAACCCUCAACACAUUCCUUUUGGACCUCCAAUCAAGUAAGAGGACCCGCUGGAUUUAAGCAUAUCAAUACGCGGAG